AAGAACGUGAAGUUUUGGCGGAUUUAUGCUAUAAAACAACGUCUUUCUUUGCCUUUACUACUUUUUAUUGAAUUAUUUUUGUUUAUGUAUGUUUCUGGUUGGAUUUUUGAGGUGGGUUUUGCUUGAAUUUUGAAUUCAAGAGAGUCAAAGAACCAUGGAGAGAGAUUUCUUGGGUUUGGAUUCAAAAGAACCGUGGGUUAUGGUAAAGGAAACAGGUUUUACUAAAAGCUCAGGGAUUCGAUGGCCGUUUUCAGACAAGGUUUGUGCUGUUCCACAGCUGAUGAGCUUUAAUUUUGCUCAAGGGGACAAAGCUAAAAUGGUUGGCCCUUUGUUCAUGCCUACCUCAACAAUGGAUGCCACUGAACUUCAGAAAUCAUUCUACCAUGGUAGGAUAGGUGGGAGUCAUUUCUCAAUGACACCUUCUUGUGUUCUACAUGAUGGUAAGAUGUUUCCGGCCUCGAACCAUGUACAGUUUAUGAAGAAUCAUUACGCUACCGCUGGUCGAAACUUGCCUGUUAAUAGCAUGAGACCGCAAUUACUCAGAGGGAUUCCGGUGACGGGUCCACAUACGACUCUUCCCACACUUGGUUCUGUUUUUGGAAGUGUUGAACCUUGGAAAAGCGUCAAGACCUCUGGAUCACCCGCUCAACUGACGAUCUUUUAUGCGGGUGAAGUGAAUGUCUUUGAUGAUAUUACCCCUGAGAAGGCUCAGGCUAUAAUGUUCUUGGCUGGAUCUAAUUCGGCUUAUCCAAAAGCUCAAGUUCAGGCACCGAUUUUGAAGCCAGUUCAAGUUGAAAGUGUUCCUGCAAACCAUAUCAUAAAUACACAAUUAAACUCUGGUACGUCGAGCCCUCAUGCUGUUUCUGCUCAGUCCGGGAGUGGCUCCACUAGUACCGAAGAUCAGAUGAUAUGCAAGACCUCGGAGACUCCAACACUAUCUACCCCUAUUAGCAGAUUUGAGCCUCCAAUGUUGGCGAAUUCCAUGGGAUCUGUUGCUGCCACUGGCAUGAUGCCUUCUAUUCCACAGGCUCGCAAAGCUUCCUUGGCUCGGUUUUUGCAGAAGCGCAAGGAAAGGGUAAUGAAUGCAGCAUCACCAUACAAUUCUUUCAAGAAGUCGAUAGAUUAUGCAACUACCUUGGAAUCGAGCGCAUGAUCGUUGCCGGAAUCCACCGAACUCCAUGGUUUAUGAACACAACUAGUUGGUACAUUACAUUGCCAUGGGACCACCGGGACCAUAUGAACACAAAUAACCCAAGUACAAUUUCCUUCAAAUCUCUCGACCAUGGGAGAAGAGGAUAUUAUUGAUUUAUAGCAAAUCGAUCCUUUGUCGUUAUUGAGAGUAAUGAAAUAUUGAUGUGACACGUUGUUCAAUUGAACUGACAUCGUUUUGUCACAUGAGAUAGCCUUCUUAAUGCAUAGUAACUGCAAAGGAACCCAAGUUUAACAGAAGAGCUUUUUGUUCCUCGUUUUGUCUUCAAUCUUUGCUUGCGAGGCGCUUUUGGUGACUAUGGGGGAGGAUGGCAAGGUGGCCAUGCUGCAUUCUAUGGUGGUGGCAAUGCAUCUGGCAAUAUGGGUCGAACGUGGAGAAGAUGAAGAGGGUAGGCCAUGAGAAAGACAAGAAGGGAACAAUAGAGGUUUCAAGGAUCCCGUCUAUUUUAAUGUAUUGAUUGAGAGUAUUUAUAGUGAUCUUCGGUGCGUUUUGAUCAUGAAUUUAUUAUAGCUAUAUGUAGGACAAGAUUAUAUAGA